rnacentral:lncRNA from 1 species
AGAAGCCCCUGAAAUUUUGUGGGGUUUAUCUCUGUCUCUCUGGCUCAUCUAUGUAUUACUAAGAUAUCUAAAGAAUUUACUACUUCCAGCUCAUCCAAUCCAAUAUGAACAAUAACAUCAAUUUGUAGAAACAAUGUGAUAUUUUGUGGAAUCUGGUGAUCAAUACCUCUGAAGACUGUAUUAUGCACAAAGGAGGGGAAGAGACGUAACCCUGAGUUCUGGAGGCCAGAAGUAUGCAGUCAAGAUACACAGCAGGACCAUGCUGUCUCUGGAGGAUCUGGGAGACUGUGUUCUAUGCCUUUCUCUUAGCCUCUGGUGUUGCUGGCAAGCCUUGACAUUCCUGAACUUGUCAAUACAUCACUCUAAUCUCUGACUCCAUUGUCACAAGAUGUCCUCCCCUGUGUGUGUGUCUUUUGCUGUGCCUUACUAGAGCAUGUUGAUCCCCAUCUGUUUCCUUGCUCUGCUAAGCAAUAAAACUUGAAAAUGAAAAUUAAAAAAGACAUCAGUCCUAUCGGAUUAAGGGCCCAUGCUACUCCAAUAUGACCUCAUCUUAACUAAUUUCAUCUGUUGCGACCAUUUUCCAAAUCAGCUCACAUUCUGAGAUUCUGAGAAGGAUGUGAAUUUUGGGGGGAAACUACACCCUCUAGUACAGCUCCCUUUGCCACAUUUCUUCUUUCCGUAUCUAUCUUGUCAUGUUCUUGCCUGUUGGCCUACAUCAGGUGACUCAGCUGCAUAGGUUUAUUUGGCUGGUCUUAUUUUCUUUACUCUUCCAGUUUGAUGAGAUACACUGGGAUACUGGCCUCUCCAAACUCCUAAUAAUCAAUUUCCUUGCUACAGGUUUUUUUCCCCCUUCUUCAAGGUACUUCUUUUCAUUGAUUCCUCUGAAAUCCUCCUACUCCAGCCCUGCAUUCCUGUGGAUCUCCUCCUGACCUUACAAAAAGAUGUUUUGCCUUCCUAGGCCACCCCAAAUAGACAGGUCCUGGUCCUACCACCUUACUAACUUAUUUAUAGAGGGUUGGGCAAUGCAGCCAUAAAUUGAAAAUAUCUUAUAUUCAAUUUAUUUCUGAUUCCCUGUAAUUCCUGCUGCUCUAUGGUUUCACAUUUAUUGAAGUCGAGCAUCCCUUCAGGGAGAGGGCAAAAGCCAAGGGAAGAAAAAAUGUGUCAGAGCAGAUAUUUGAGAGAAAAAGGUUUUUUAGGGGAACUCCCAGACUUAAGCUUUAAAUUAUUAAAUUCUAGCUCAGAGGAUUCAGACCAUGGCAGUCUUUUGUAAACCAGAGAGUAGGGAGAAUGCAAGGUUGAAAUGAGGUCCAUUUUUCCCUAUACAAGGAAGGUAAAAACUGCCCUGGUGGGAGGCUUGGGGGACAGUGGAGGAACAGAGAGAGAGAGAAAGAGAGACAAAAGAGACAGCCAAGUUGGAAGAUAGGUAUAUGCAUGCUCCUUACACUUUAAACAUUCUGUGGUAUAGAAAGUCUUUUUGCAAACCUUGCCUUAACUCUGAUGAAAAUGCCUCACAGAGUAUAAAUUAGAAAAUAUACAAAGGAGUAGAAAUGUCAACAUGGUAUAUCCAGGUACAGAGAAUGAAAAGUGGAGCCAUUUGGUUUCCCAAUGUGAGUGAUAUGCAAGAGUUCCAGAAUUUCUUGAUGGCCUCAGAGGAGAAUGGGAAAUGCUUCCAUGGCUGGAGAGCUGGGAAAAGCCUGAUGUUUGGAAGAGGAGGGAGCUAAGUCCUUUUUACUCAAAGCCAGUGGGCAAAGAUGUGAGCUGUGGGUAUAGCAGGGUAAGUGGCAGACACUCACAGAUCAAGUGGAGGCCAGAAAUAUUGGACAAAAAAGGACAUCCUUCCUCAUUGUCAGGACAAGGGGAGAGGACAAGGAGAAGACUGUGUGAGAGUAACCCAGAAAAACUGGGUAAUUACAUAAAGAAGACUAAGUUGUAAACCCAGAAGAUAUUGUGUUUCUCUGACGUCCAAACAUUAGCUGAUAUGAGUAGCUCAUUAGCAGAUUGAGUUUAAUUAUGGAGGAUGUUAGAAGUUACAUUUCUAUAAAUAUCUGUUGUGAUGGCAAAUUUCAAGCCUAUCAUCUGGUUAAGACGCAAAUAUUCUUUUAUUUCCUAGUACAUGCACAUCUGUAAAUUGCUCCAAAUACAGAAUCUUGGAACACAUUUUUCAACUCUCUUCUAGUCCUUUAUAUCUUAUCUGCGGGUUAAUCAGAUCAUCUCUUUGUCAGAAACAAUAGAUGUUUUAAUAUUUACAUCACAAAAUUUCUAAUCUAACUUUGAUGUUGAUCUUUAAUCUGGUCUAUUGGCAAUCUAAACGUGUGUGCAUUGCUUCAUACUGACAUGCUUUUAAAAGAUAGUAAACCAAGCAUAGUGAUAAACAGGAACUUCUUCACAUUAAUAUUUAAGCUGUCGAGUUCUCCAAGGCUACAUCCAGGGAUGUGGCACUUUCAAAAAUAAUCUUGAAGCAGAAUUGCACUCUCAAAUUUUCAAGUUUCCAGAAGAUAUUAAGUGAUGCCUAAGUACUGAACUGCCAAACCAUUACAGCUAAACCAUGGAAAGACUUCAGAAUUCGAUGUGACUGGACAGAAAUGGGGCAGAUGAAGUUUGAAUGAAAGAAAGUAAAGUAACGCUUUUAGAGAAAAACAUGUCAUCGUACUUAUAAAACUAAAGGUUCUAAGCUGUCAGUUCAUCCCCAAAUGGAAAUUAUCCAAGUUAUUACCCCUAUAUAUUAAUACCCUUUAACUAAAAAUAUUAUCAAUAAAAAUAUUAAGAAUAAUAUAUUACUUGACCACUAUGUGCUAGGUGAUGAGUAUAUCUUACAUGUAUUAUUUUAUUUAAAAUUCUAGUAUUCUUUUGCUCUUUUCCUUUUACGGGAUAAGGGGAAUGUCAAGGUCAUACUGACAUCAACGAUCCAGCCUAGGGCAGUCUGAUGUCAAAGCUCAGACGUUUACCUACUAUGUCACACUGCCCUGCACUGAACAUCUUCUACUCUGGAACAAAUCAGCCUUGUGUCUGUUCCUGAAAUAGUGUCAGAAUUAUAAUAAGAGUUCAAGGUAGACAUGCCAGAAUAAGAAUAAAUCUAGGGCAGGGCUACUAAAAUUACCCAGGAUAUGGUAUCUAAGGGUAGCCUUUUAAAAAAUAAUUAUAGGUUCAAGAUACAAAUUGUAUAGAAAUCAUGAGUGGUACACAAAAUCCUGAAAGUUGAAAUUAGGGACUAGCGUGUCUGGCUUGAAAAAGGGAUGGCAUUUACCAAACAAGUAAAAACUCUCAGAAAUGUGCUGCUACUUUUAAGCUGAAGAUAGAAUAUCUAGAAUACCAAGAUCCUUGCCUCAUGCUUUCUGCCUCUCCUUCUUUUCUCAGCUAGAUACUCUUCACUGGCAGCCACAAUAUAUCUGAGACCUCAGCCCCAUCAUCUGGUUACAAAUUACCUUGGCAUCCUCUCAAACAGUAUCCAAAUAUACAGCCUUUCCUGGGUACCUCCUUUUCUAUUUGCACCCCCAAUCUGCUGUUUCCAGGGAUUGUUCUUUGGGUAUUUUGUUGCUUCCUCAAGUUGAAUAUCUCUCCUGGACCUCUCUCAGUCCAUACAGUGGGGAUCUGGGACUUGACCUGCCUCCUUAUUUCUAAUAUUAGAAUUAACCAUUCUUAUUCCUCUCUUUGUUCUCACUAAAGCCCUCUUGAGAGAUAAUUCUGUUUCCCUAAAUGAAAUUUUCUCGUACCUAACAGCAGUGUCUGCAUCCCACUGCUUAGGAGCAACUGCCCCCUAUCUGCCUCCUGGAAAUAACCAGCACCUGGAAUCUCCAGUGCUAUUCUGUGCCUCAUGGCUUUCACUAUCAUCUGAAACAGCCAGUUCUAUGUGAUGCUUCUUAGACUUCUAAAAUUAAGUCUUGCAUGCUGGAAACUAUUACUAAGUAGAAAGAAAGAAAUGGGUGAACAGGGAUUUGGCUAGAAAUAAUUUACCAUAAUCACUGAUAAUUUUCACAUUCUUGUUUGGCAAUAGUGUGAAUAGGAGUUUGUGUGACUUAAGGGGCCAGCAGGGAAAAUGGAAGUUGAUGUAAACAACAAACAGGACCUGAGAUUUGUGUUUUGGGAUGAGGCUAAAUUGGAAAGAAAGACAGAUUUGUCCCCAGUGUUCUGAAUUUGCCUUACUCAGCUGUAUCUCUGGAGAUACCAGUUUUUCUCACCUCUGUCCCACUACCUUGGUUGAAUCUUGUGCCAACCUGUGACUCUUUCCAUGAGAACGUCUCCCCCAUGCUAUGGAGGUUGGAACAUCAAGCUCAUACUGGAGAAUGGAGACAGAAAUUUUAAAUAAAACUAUAGUCAAUAAAAUGAUAACAGGUUAUGUGGAAUUUUUUAUGCUCUAUGCAACACCCAUAUUCACUGUGAAAAAUCCAAGAAACUUGUGAUCUCUGAAAUUAUUUACACUGUUCCUGAAGAAAACUGCUCUA